UACGUAGGGUGCGAGCGUUAAUCGGAAUUACUGGGCGUAAAGCGUGCGCAGGCGGUUGUGCAAGACAGAUGUGAAAUCCCCGGGCUUAACCUGGGAACUGCAUUUGUGACUGCACGGCUAGAGUGUGUCAGAGGGGGGUAGAAUUCCACGUGUAGCAGUGAAAUGCGUAGAUAUGUGGAGGAACACCGAUGGCGAAGGCAGCCCCCUGGGCCAAUACUGACGCUCAUGCACGAAAGCGUGGGGAGCAAACAGG
rnacentral:rRNA from 1 species